UACGGAGGGUGCAAGCGUUAUCCGGAUUCACUGGGUUUAAAGGGUGCGUAGGAGGGCAGGUAAGUCAGCGGUGAAAUCCCCGAGCUUAACUUGGGAACUGCCAUUGAUACUAUCUGUCUUGAAUAUUGUGGAGGUGAGCGGAAUAUGUCAUGUAGCGGUGAAAUGCUUAGAUAUGACAUAGAACACCAAUUGCGAAGGCAGCUCACUACGCGAAUAUUGACACUGAGGCACGAAAGCGUGGGGAUCAAACAGG
rnacentral:rRNA from 1 species